UACGUAGGGCGCAAGCGUUGUCCGGAAUUAUUGGGCGUAAAGAGCUCGUAGGUGGCGUGUCGCGUCUGCCGUGAAAGCCCAUGGCUUAACUGUGGGUCUGCGGUGGAUACGGGCAGGCUGGAGGCUGGUAGGGGCAAGCGGAAUUCCUGGUGUAGCGGUGAAAUGCGCAGAUAUCAGGAGGAACACCGGUGGCGAAGGCGGGUCUCUGGGCCGAUACUGACGCUGAGGAUCGAAAGCGUGGGGAGCGAACAGG
rnacentral:rRNA from 1 species